UUCACCAUUUCUUUACAUGCCGGCUGAUUUAAAUACAUAUAUAUUUGUAAGUUAUACCACUCUUGGACCACAAACAGCAGGGAAAGCGGCUGGGAAAUUGUAUAAAAAUGUGCUUCCCAAACAAUUCAUCGCAACGAAGGACGGGAUUUGGAAUAGGCGACCCAAAACUAUAAUAAAUAAACUCUAGCAAUUCCUUGGAGCGUUCAUCAAAGCAAAAUUGAUAUCAAUCAUACGGACACAACUGCCCACACAAUGGUAUCAGCGUCUGUGUGAUGGCAAAUUGAAACAUCGUAUAAAAUACUGGCCAGCCCGCAAACCACCCACUCGGCAAAUUGGCCUUAAAAAUAAAACACCAUCAACACGAGGCCGACGGAAAAAAACGUAUCAAAUUUAAAGGAAUUGCCAAGUUAUUUUUAGCCGAAGCCCGAUCUCCCGCAAAGGAAGAAAAUAAGUGGUGGAUUUUCCUUUGCGGCUUCAACUUUAAAGCCAAAGGAACAAAACAAUGGCUGGAAAAUGAAAACAAAGACGCCGCGGCCAUGCGUGACAUUGCUGGAAAUGUAUGCGGCGGAAAAUGAAGUCAUUACUCCAAGUCACACUCCACAGAUCCCGGAACCUUGGCUCCGCCGUUUACCCUUUUCGGUAAACCCUAGUUUUUCCCGACCAUUCCGCAUUCCCCAACGUGUCAACGGCAGUCGUGCGACUCCAUCUCCGUGCCACAGCCACGCAUCGCAUCCCUUGAAUGUCCUGCUCCUUUGACGAUGACUACACCCAACCACUGUGUCGCACAAUAAAAGAAGCAAUAAGGAUCACAAGUAACGACGGCCGACAAGUUUAAGUACAGACUUGAAUACCCUGCCUGUUGGCUUAAAAAUUGUUAUUGUUAGUUUUGGUUGUAGCAUCACCACUUGGUGUUAUUACCAGUUACUUAAAGUUCGUUUCAUAAAUUGUA
rnacentral:sRNA from 1 species